rnacentral:rRNA from 1 species
UACGUAGGUGGCAAGCGUUGUCCGGAAUUAUUGGGCGUAAAGGGCGCGUAGGCGGCUUGGCAAGUGGAUGGUGAAAUCCCUCGGCUUAACCGAGGAACUGCCGUCCAAACUGCUUCGCUUGAGACCGGGAGAGGUGAGUGGAAUUCCCAGUGUAGCGGUGAAAUGCGUAGAUAUUGGGAGGAACACCAGUGGCGAAGGCGGCUCACUGGACCGGUACUGACGCUGAUGCGCGAAAGCGUGGGGAGCAAACGGG